UAUCUAAGUGGAUUGUAUGUUGUUGAAG
rnacentral:piRNA from 1 species